GAUCUCGGCUCACUGCAACCUCUGCCUCCUGGGUUCAAGCGAUUCUCCUGCCUUAGCCGUGAUGUUCAGUUUCUAAUACUAAUCACCUAUUUUACCGUCUUUUACAACUUCGUUGUAGGAGGUGUGAAAGAGGAGGGAAAUUGUGUUGGAAGAGGAGAUUAGGACAUCAAGAGACACCAAGAGUAACCAUGUACAGAGAAAAACAUCAUAUGAAGACACAGCAAGAAGGUGGCCAUCUGUAAGCCA
rnacentral:lncRNA from 10 species